rnacentral:rRNA from 1 species
GACGAACGCUGGCGGCGUGCUUAACACAUGCAAGUCGAACGGAGAGACCCUGCUUUUGUGGGGUGCUCGAGUGGCGAACGGGUGAGUAACACGUGAGUAACCUGCCCUUGACUUUGGGAUAACUUCAGGAAACUGGGGCUAAUACCGGAUAGGAGCUCCUGCUGCAUGGUGGGGGUUGGAAAGUUUCGGCGGUUGGGGAUGGACUCGCGGCUUAUCAGCUUGUUGGUGGGGUAGUGGCUUACCAAGGCUUUGACGGGUAGCCGGCCUGAGAGGGUGACCGGCCACAUUGGGACUGAGAUACGGCCCAGACUCCUACGGGAGGCAGCAGUGGGGAAUAUUGCACAAUGGGCGGAAGCCUGAUGCAGCAACGCCGCGUGCGGGAUGACGGCCUUCGGGUUGUAAACCGCUUUCGCCUGUGACGAAGCGUGAGUGACGGUAAUGGGUAAAGAAGCACCGGCUAACUACGUG